GCUUACGGCCAUACCUCUCUGGCUCCGCCUGAUCUCGUCUGAUCUCAGAAGCUAAGCAGAGUAGGGCCUGGUUAGUACUUGGAUGGAGACCGCCUGGGAAUCCCAUGUGCCGUAAGCU
ensembl:rRNA 5S_rRNA 5S ribosomal RNA